CUGCAAGUCGAGCGGGGAAGGGUAGCUUGCUACCUGACCUAGCGGCGGACGGGUGAGUAAUGCUUAGGAAUCUGCCUAUUAGUGGGGGACAACAUUCCGAAAGGAAUGCUAAUACCGCAUACGCCCUACGGGGGAAAGCAGGGGAUCUUCGGACCUUGCGCUAAUAGAUGAGCCUAAGUCAGAUUAGCUAGUUGGUGGGGUAAAGGCCUACCAAGGCGACGAUCUGUAGCGGGUCUGAGAGGAUGAUCCGCCACACUGGGACUGAGACACGGCCCAGACUCCUACGGGAGGCAGCAGUGGGGAAUAUUGGACAAUGGGCGAAAGCCUGAUCCAGCCAUGCCGCGUGUGUGAAGAAGGCCUUUUGGUUGUAAAGCACUUUAAGCGAGGAGGAGGCUACUUAGAUUAAUACUCUAGGAUAGUGGACGUUACUCGCAGAAUAAGCACCGGCUAACUCUGUGCCAGCAGCCGCGGUAAUACAGAGGGUGCGAGCGUUAAUCGGAUUUACUGGGCAUACAGCGUGCUCAAGCGGUUG
rnacentral:rRNA from 1 species